GAUGAAGAACGUAGCGAAAUGCGAUAAGUAAUGUGAAUUGCAGAAUUCAGUGAAUCAUCGAAUCUUUGAACGCACAUUGCGCCCGCCAGUAUUCUGGCGGGCAUGCCUGUUCGAGCGUCAUUUCAACCAUCAAGCCCCCGGGCUUGUGUUGGGGACCUGCGGCUGCCGCAGGCCCUGAAAACCAGUGGCGGGCUCGCUAGUCACUCCGAGCGUAGUAGUUACAUCUCGCUCAGGGCGUGCUGCGGGUUCCGGCCGUUAAAAGCCUUUUACCCCAAGGUUGACCUUGGAUCAGGUAGGAAGACCCGCUGAACUUAAGCAUAUCAAUAAGCGGAGGA
rnacentral:misc_RNA from 1 species